GCACAGCUCCACCCACUGCACUAGUUUAGUUUCUGAAGAAAUUAAGCCUCAGAUGAUCUAAGGAGUUUCCAUUUGUUCUUUUACUCAGAGAAACAUGGAUCCCGUCACUGGUCUGGCCAUGGUAGCAGGUGCAGCAGGAGCUGUGGUUGCUGCUCCUGUUGUUUUGGGGGCUGCAGGGUUCACUUCAGAUGGAAUAGCAGCCGGCUCAUAUGCUGCAGGUAUGAUGUCCUCUGCAGCGAUUGCCAAUGGAGGAGGAGUGGCAGCUGGAAGUCUGGUGGCUGUUCUGCAAUCAGCAGGUGUUGCCGGUCUCUCUGGGACUGCAAUGUCGGCUGUUGCUGCUGUUGGAGGAGGAUUGGGAUUUCUUGCCCAAUCAGCAGGAGCAGUAGGGGCAGCAACAGCUGCAACAGCUGCAACUGCAUCCACGGUCAUGACUGGAGUUGCUGCUGGAGUUGCUGCUUUUGGAGCAACAGCAAGGUGUCUGGGAGGCAGACACUCCAAAUUCCACCCGAUGCGAAAGCGCCGUGCCGUGCCGUGGCGCGCUCUUGAAUCAUACUGCCCAGCACCUAGAACCCAUUCUCUUCGAUCAGACAAAUUCUACCGGAUGCGAAAUCACCGCACCACGUCUCAGGGCCAGCGCCCACAUACUGCGAAAUGGAUGCACUGCGCUGCGCAGCGCAGGUGGCAGCCCUCACGCAGUACUUAUGCACCCAUCGAAGUCAAUGAAGUCGCAGGCAGAGCGCGCCCAGAGCCUGCGCGCCCAGAGCCUGCGCGAGGCCUGCGUCAAGCGUACACCCGCCGUCAUCCUGCGGUCCGCCCUCCGGAAAACUUCGGCCCAGGUUGGGGGGGCCAACCAGAUGGCGAGAUGGCGCCAAGAUGGCGGCCAGCGCGGUUAGGUUGUGAGGAGCUCCAAUACUAUAAGAUGUACCACAAUAAAAAAGACUAUUAGACCAAAGAUUAUCACCACUGCUUGUAUGUGAAGGUAAGGAGGAUCAAAGAACGAGGAGAAAAGAAAGCGUCUGAAAAUACGUUUCUUGUAAGAAAACUCGAAAAGUAGCUGUUAGCUUCCGGCUUAAAAGUUAGCUUAAGCAAGAUCAACAUGGCAAAAAGAGGAGCUAAAAACAAGGAACUGACCACUUUAUUUGAAUGAGGCCAAAGCUCUGAAGAAAUGUCUGAUUUAAAGGGGCUGUACCAUGCUUCUUUAGCUAGUCCAAACCCUAUUAUUGGCAUUAACAUGGUAAUAGUUUAUUUUUGGCGCUAAGGAAAAGUCAUUUUGUGUGAAAUGAAGAUUUAGGGCCCGUGGGUUUUCAUAACCCACCAACCCUACGUAAAUUACACCUGUGAGUUGGAGCUAAAUAACAUGAUUCAGUUUAAGUGAAUGUAAGCUGUCAUUAUCGUUUUACACAAUGAGAAUGAGAAAAAAUAUUUUAUCUUGUCCUGUUCCUGAACACACAGGAUAGAAGAGAGGCUUGCUGAUUGGGUCGCUACAUGCAGUAUAUACAUGUCUUUGACUUUUUUUAUACCUUAAGCACUGACCCACAUCAAUCAGUAAUGUUGAACACUAACCAAUAGCAUAUAAUAAAGUCAUUCAGUGAGUGAGAAUUAUCUGAUUCAUAAAAAAGCUGAACAUUUUAGAAUACCAUCUUCUCAAUAAAUAGCAGUGGAAUUGAUCUGUGUCUCUUGAACACAUUUUGUAUCUUAGCUAUUCAGUGGUUCAAUGCGAUUCUAUUAAUUUAUCUUUUUGUAAAAACUGUAAAUUAAAUUCAAUUUAAAAUUGCUAAAGUCAAUAUUUCUCAACAUUGAGGUUAUGAUGUAACCCUCCAGGACCAGGAGUGGGUUGGCUGGCCAUGUGAUUCCUCACACAUCACCUCCAUCACUGCAGUAAAAAGAAAACAACAUUCUGUAUAUGUAUUGUAACCUGUCAUUUUUUUGCCUAAGCCGCCUGGCCUCUAGGGGGCAACAUUGUUUCAGCUGUGGUACUUUGAUAGGAAGUUCUGAUAUUAGCAGCAGAAAGCUAAUCCUUUUCCUCAGACUGCCGUUUGUUUCAAGCUCUUUGGGUGGCAAAAUAAGUAAAUAAAUAUGUUAUUGAUGUUAGAAUCUGUAUUGGAAUGUUGUAGUCUGUGUGCAGUGUUUCUGACUUACAUUCCUCUUUCAAAUUUGUAUUAUCCUGGUGGAUUUGGAACUUUGGGGCUAUCUAAGUUCAAUUUGUGCAAUUUAUGCAUCUUUUCAUACGCAGUUCCUCCGUAAUCUCUCCCAUUUCUAUUAAUAAUACCUGUCAUCAUAUCUCAUUGUAUGCUGAUGACAUUUUACUAUAUUUAAAUAACCCAGUGCAGAGUAUCCCACAUGUUUUGACGACCGUUAUGGCAAGCUGUCCGGCUUCAAAAUAAACUGGCAGAAAUCUGCCUUGCUGCCUCUAAAUCAUGCCACGAGUAAUGCACCCAUUCCUGCUUCUAUUCCAGUUACUAAAAACUUUAUUUAUCUGGGGAUGGAUAUUUAUUCUUCUAUCCAGACAAUAAUUAGACAUAAUUUGUGCAAUACACUCAACAAAGUAGUAGAUGACCUCGAUAGAUGGUCUAGCAUUCCAAAUUCACUUCGUGGUAGGAUAGCUAUUAUUAAAAUGAACAUUCUGCCCAGAAUCAAUUUUGUCAGUUCCAUGCUUCCUCUCCCUCCGCCCUCUCAAUACUGGAGUGAACUUCAACCAGCAAUAUCAAAGUUUAUUUGGCGAGGUAGACGACCUCGUAUUAAACUUAAGACAGUGCAGCGAGAAAGGCAGGACGGCGGUCUAUCCGUCCCAAACUUUAAGUUUAAGGCAUGGGAUGCACUUUUGACUAACCUCCGUGGACUUCAGAUGUAACAUUUGACUGUAUUUAAUGGAUCUGGAUCUGGGGAAUGUUUUUUUUUUUCUUUUCUGUUUGUUCUGGUGUUGUGUCUGAGACUUAUUUUAAAUAAUUCAUUUCUAUAUUUAGAUUUUUUUCCUUAUGUGUAUCUUCGGGUGUUCACACACUUUACAUUGCUUCGACAGCUGUUGUAGAUGUUUUUGUCUUUAAAUCAGGUUUUGGUCAUAAUUACAGUUUUGAUUUCAUUUUGAAUUUUAUUUUUGUAUUAUGCAUAAACAUUUCUGUGUGUGUCAUGCUGAGAAGCACAAAGAAAAUACAUAAAAAUGUGAUCACAAAAAAAAAGGUUUAUGCUACUUUAUAACUGUACCAGUCUGAUUAAUGUGUUUCUGUUUUUGUUGGUACAUUUCAGUUUCACACUUUUUUGAUUUAAAUCCGUCCAUCACAACAACCGGCCUGUUCCUUGGAGGAUGCAAUACAAAGGAGAAUUUAGCUGGCUGUGAACCCCAGUAUAGGACAGGAGUCACACUGGGUGUAACAGUACAGUAUAAAUACUUUCUGAACUUGUAUCUGUGUCCUUACUUGAAUAAAGUACUGAACUGGCUCUGAA